AGCGAACGCUGGCGGCAGGCCUAACACAUGCAAGUCGAACGAACUCUUCGGAGUUAGUGGCGGACGGGUGAGUAACACGUGGGAACGUGCCUUUAGGUUCGGAAUAACUCAGGGAAACUUGUGCUAAUACCGAAUGUGCCCUUCGGGGGAAAGAUUUAUCGCCUUUAGAGCAGCCCGCGUCUGAUUAGCUAGUUGGUGAGGUAAAGGCUCACCAAGGCGACGAUCAGUAGCUGGUCUGAGAGGAUGAUCAGCCACAUUGGGACUGAGACACGGCCCAAACUCCUACGGGAGGCAGCAGUGGGGAAUCUUGCGCAAUGGGCGAAAGCCUGACGCAGCCAUGCCGCGUGAAUGAUGAAGGUCUUAGGAUUGUAAAAUUCUUUCACCGGGGACGAUAAUGACGGUACCCGGAGAAGAAGCCCCGGCUAACUUCGUGCCAGCCGCCGCGGUAAUAC
rnacentral:rRNA from 1 species